AGACGAACUGUCCAAACGUUAUUCGGAAUCACUGGGCUUAAAGGGUGUGUAGGCUGUUGUACAAGUGAGAUGUGAAAUCCCUCGGCUUAACCGAGGAACGGCGUUUCAGACUGUACGACUGGAGGAAGACAGGGGUAAGCGGAACGUGCGGUGGAGCGGUGAAAUGCUUUGAUAUUGCACGGAACACCAGAGGCGAAGGCGGCUUACUGGGUCUUUACUGACGCUGAAACACGAAAGCCAGGGUAGCGAACGGGAUUAGAUACCCCGGUAGUCCUGGCUGUAAACGCUGAGUACUUGGUCGGAGCGCCAUCCAUAGCGUUCUGGUCGGAGCGAAAGUGUUAAGUACUCCGCCUGGGGAGUAUGGUCGCAAGGCUGAA
rnacentral:rRNA from 1 species